AUUGAACGCUGGCGGCAGGCCUAACACAUGCAAGUCGAACGAGUGGCGGACGGGUGAGUAAUGUCUGGGAAACUGCCCGAUGGAGGGGGAUAACUACUGGAAACGGUAGCUAAUACCGCCUACCAUCGGAUGUGCCCAGAUGGGAUUAGCUAGUAGGUGGGGUAACGGCUCCCCUGGGCGACGAUCCCUAGCUGGGCUGAGAGGAUGACCAGCCACACGGGAACUGAGACACGGUCCAGACGCCUACGGGAGGCAGCAGCGGGGAAGAUUGCACAAUGGGCGCAAGCCUGAUUCAGCCAGGCCGCGUGUAUGAAGAAGGCCUUCGGGUUGUAAAGUACUUUCAGCGAGGAGGCGUUACUCGCAGAAGAAGCACCGGCUAACUCCGUGCCAGCAGCCGCGGUAAUUC
rnacentral:rRNA from 1 species